rnacentral:rRNA from 1 species
AGAACGAACGCUGGCGGCAGGCUUAACACAUGCAAGUCGAACGGUUGUAGCAAUACAGCAGUGGCAGACGGGUGAGUAACACGUGGGAACCUUCCUAGGGGUACGGAACAACUCAGGGAAACUUGAGCUAAUACCGUAUACGUCCGUAAGGAGAAAGAUUCAUCGCCCCUAGACGGGCCCGCGUAGGAUUAGGUAGUUGGUGAGGUAACGGCUCACCAAGCCUACGAUCCUUAGCUGAUCUGAGAGGAUGAUCAGCCACACUGGGACUGAGACACGGCCCAGACUCCUACGGGAGGCAGCAGUGGGGAAUCUUGGACAAUGGGCGGCAAGCCUGAUCCAGCCAUGCCGCGUGAGUGAAGAAGGCCUUGGUGUAAGACUCUUUACUAGGUACGGAUAAUAGUACGUACGAGAGAAUAAGACCCGGACCAAACUACCGUCGUACCACGA